rnacentral:rRNA from 1 species
UGGGGAAUAUUGCACAAUGGGCGCAAGCCUGAUGCAGCCAUGCCGCGUGUAUGAAGAAGGCCUUCGGGUUGUAAAGCACUUUCAGCGAGGAGGAAGGUGGUGAGCUUAAUACGCUCAUCAAUUGACGUUACUCGCAGAAGAAGCACCGGCUAACUCCGUGCCAGCAGCCGCGGUAAUACGGAGGGUGCAAGCGUUAAUCGGAAUUACUGGGCGUAAAGCGCACGCAGGCGGUUUGUUAAGUCAGAUGUGAAAUCCCCGGGCUCAACCUGGGAACUGCAUUUGAAACUGGCAAGCUAGAGUCUCGUAGAGGGGGGUAGAAUUCCAGGUGUAGCGGUGAAAUGCGUAGAGAUCUGGAGGAAUACCGGUGGCGAAGGCGGCCCCCCUGGACGAAGACUGACGCUCAGGUGCGAAAGCGUGGGGCAGCAAACAGGAUUAGAUACCCUGGUAGUCCACGCUGUAAACGAUGUCGAUUUGGAGGUUGUGCCCCUUGAGGCGUGGNUUCCGGAGCUAACGCGUUAAAGUCGACCGCCUGGGGAGUACGG